CUUCUUUGUACUAUAGCUCACUAGGCUACCCUGCAGGCCCUGGCUUCCAUUGCUCGAUAGUCCCCUCUGUUGGCUAAUACCAUCUCAUCCGAGAACUUCCAGUUCAGCCUUAGCCUCCCAGAGUCCCCCCCUCCCUUGCCCUUGUUGACAUAGCCAGCUUUCUUAAGUGCUCAAGCAUGGGGCAUACCUUUCUGAACACUGUCUCAAUUUUUCUUUCAUUUGUGUGAUUUUUCUGUUUCCAUCCUCCUGCUGCCCUAUAUUUGAUAGGAAGUUUGUCGAUAACAUUUUAUUCUCUAGUAUAUUGAAUCUCAGUUUCUGAUACUUAAUGGAUGCUCCUUAAACACUUGCUGAAGGCUGGAAGAAUGGAUGGAUGAAUGGAUGAAUGGAUGGAUGGAUGGCUGAGACAGAAUUCCAGUGGAAGGUAGGUACAAAGGUCCUAUCAGCAUCAUUGGAAACAGAACGUGCUGAAAAGAGAGCCCACUUUGACAUCAGUAAGUGUGGUAGUUUGAGUAAACUUGGCACCCAUAGGUCCACAGAGAGUGGCUCUAUUUAGGCGGUGUGGCCUCGUUGGAGGAAGUGUGUUUUAGUCAUUUCCUGUGGCUUUCUCUCUUCCUGCUGCCUGUAGAUCUGGAUGGGGAACUCUCAGUUCCUUCUCUAAAACCAAUCUCUGCAGGCAAGCAAGAUCUUGACCCAGCCUCUGAGUAAUUAGGCUUCUUUGACUUCCGGGAAGGCAGCUGGGUGUAAGCAGUGUUCCCCCGCAUCCAGACAGCUGUAAGAAGAAACCCAUUACUGAUGAAAGAUACCAGAGGACUGCGUGAGUCGAGACUGUCACUAAAUUCUCAGUGCCUGUGCAGCCAGAGAUGCUCAAUACCCUUGCCACUUGGUGUCUAGGUGAACUGUGCUACUCGGCUGCAGUCUCAGCUGUCCCUACCUGGAACAGUGCCCUGAGAGGGACUCUGAGCCUCUUCACCGACACAGCUCUUCAUCCCCGGUCUCUUGCUCAGGAUGUGCAACAAUCUGGAUUCUUCAUGGAUUCUCCCUAACCGAGAACAAACCAGGAGGGAAGCGAUCAAGCUUUGCUCUCUGUAAAGAUCCUUCAUGCGUGUGGCAUCUACAGUGGUCCCCUUAUCUGUGAUUUUGCUGUCCAUGUCUUUAGGCUUUGAGUAUCUGUGGUCAGGUUCAGCAUUGUGACACCUCACAUCAGCAUAGGAGAAAGCAUGAGGGAGGGAGAGGGGACGGAGAGAGGGAGAACAAGAAAGGGAAAAUUCCCAUAUUCUUAUAACCUUUAUUACAGAAUGUUCUAGUUGUUCUAUUUUAUUAGUAGUUUGUAGGUUUGUUUUUUAUUGUUCCUAAUCAAUAUACCUUCAUAGGUACACAUAUAGGAAAAGAAGUUCCAGGCCUCCUCCUGGGGUCUAGGUGUGUUUCCCUAAGGGUGUAGGUUGCCGAGAGCACUGUAUAGCUAGAUACUCACUUCCUGCAGUCUAGUACCUUCCCAACUAGCCUUGGACUUGGACUUUGGUGAUGAUUCCUCCUUUCAGAAAGCCUGCAGUUUAAAUUGUCUCUGUGCUCUGACAUGACAUCUCAGAGCCCCUGGGUGGAGACAGGUGGCUUCCUGAGGGUGGCCAGGAGGUGCCAUAGCAAGGCUUAGAAAAUCUGGGGAGCUGGGCAGGAAGAAAGGCAGAGGCUGCCCAUUGCAUCCAGUAGGAUGAGCUGCUCUCAGGAGCUCAGCACAGGAGUGUAGACUUCCUGGAGUGAGUGGGGUGGGCUUCAAAGUCAGUGGGGGAAGAACCUUCUGGGAGUCCCAGUUCUGGGAUGAUAGUUCCUGAAGUGUGUCAGGUGGGCUUACUCCACUCUCCUGGGCAGUCAGCAGGGCUACAAGGGGCAAAUACAGCUUCCUUUCUCUCCUCUUCCUUCUGUUCUAUAGGACAAAAGAAAAAAAAUGCCAGAGGGAUGUCAAUUACACGUACGGCUGGGAGAGCCUCAGUUCAAGUAAUGGAGCUACCUGCUCUGCUUGAAGGGUGACGGCCCCGCCCACCCCUGUGCUCCCCCAAGGCUGCGUAAAUGUGCUCCGUUGACCUUCGAAGGGCAUGCCACUAGCACAGCUGCUCAACUCGGUGCCACUCACUCAGGCCUGUCAUUAGUACUCAGGCCUGUGACAGGUGUUUGGCAUGGCUCUGGCAGGAAGGUCAGUGCCUCAGAGCUGCUGAGUUCUCCCAGCUCAAGGCGACACUUGAAGGCUGGCACAAAGCCAGGCUGGAGCUGGCAGCAGCUUGUGGCCUCAGUAGAGGGCAGGCUAGUUGGCUAAGAUCAGAUCUUGGUUUGGAAGAGCUCAGAGGUGGGGUUUAGUGGUCGUCUCCCCAUCCUUGUACCUCUGAAUACAUUUCCCCUCUUUCUGCUAGGUGAACCUGACAGUGGCCUGGGGCUAGGGCAGGCUCAGAAAAGCCUGGGCAGCUCCUAGGCCUGCUGGGCCCAGGAUCUGCUAUGGCUGCUGGUCUUCAGAGCACGGUGUAGCCCCAUCAGAACCCAGAAGGAGCUCUUCCAGUGUCAUGGAGUUAGCCAGUAUCCUUCUGACACUUGGCAGGUGACUGGGAAGUGGUGCUAGGCCUGCAGCCCUGGAAGGGAUGGAGGUGGUUUGUGAAGCCACAGCAGCCCAAGAGCAGUCCUGUAUACACUGCAUACACAGACGCACACAUCAUUCCACAGCAGAAGCCGCUUUACUCAGAUUGCAGAGAAAGAUGUAUUCCUGUUUCAAAGAAAAUCAGAAAAUAUACAUAUGUGUAAAAAUAAAAAAAAAGCUACCACGAUCCCGUUCCAAACAGCCGUCCUCAUUGAUUUCUUGCCUCUUCUUUCAUUCUCUGUUUAAUAGGCACACUAAGCUUUUAUUUAGCAUGUAUGUCUUGUGUGCACAUAUAGCAUGCACAUCUAUGUGUUUGAUGCUUUUUCUCAAAUCUGAAAAGUGCAAUCCAGAGGCUUGGGAGUUAUUCCUGACAUUUCCUUCCCCAUAUCCCUCCCCAUCCCUCUUCACCUUCAUCUAGCACCAAGUCCUACGGAUAUGGCCUUUCUUUUCAGUGGGUAGUACUUACCUCUGUCUCCUUAUCCAACCUUGGUCAUAGCUGCUAACACAGCCCCACUCAGUCCUCCUCAACUGUGGCACUAGGUCAAUGUCCCCGAGUAGAAUGACUUUGCCUUCUAUUAGCUGUCCGUCACUCUGGAUCUCAGCUGCCCUUAAUUGCAAGAUGGGAAAGAUUAGAUGAGCAAAAUAUGUUAACACACGUACAUACUGCAAAUACAUGUUAACACACGUACAUACUGUGGGCAGAAUGUACACCCUGUAUGUUCCUUUCUGGAAAACACAGUCAUGAUAUACUGUUCCACUUCCAGAGGCCUUAGUGUGGACUCCAGAGGGCCAGCCUGAACUCGACAGCCACAAGAUUUGGCUGUCAUGUUUCUUGUUGAUGUAUUUCCUCUGAGUGGAGGGUCUGUCUUUUUUCAGGUUUGCCAUAAACAUCUUUGCACUUUCUCUCCUCUCUGUCUGAAAGCUGUCCCUGCUGUGCCUGUCUCUCAUAGGCUGCAUUCAUGACCUGCCUUGUUUCCCGGGCUCUUCCAUUGUAUACAGCACAAAUACAUCUCUGUACAUAAAUCUUCUUGUGUCCCUCUAAAGAUGUCCUCAGAAAUGAUCCUUAGAAGUUGGGUUUCUAGGUCAAAGGUUAUGAACUUUUUUUUAAGGCUUUUGAUGAAUAGUCCAGAUCACUUUCUAGAAAUCCAGAUCGUGUUUCUUGCCUUCGGCUCACAAUUUUCUUCCCCAACUUCUUGCAGUCAUUUCGCUUGAUGCUUUCACCUAGGGCUGACCAUAACUCCAUUUACCAGAGUCAUUUGUUUACUUUCUGCCCCCCUGGACUUGACAGCAAACCCCUUGGGUAGGAGCUUCAGUGAUGCACCCUCCUGUCUCUCCAGGGACCUCUCUGUUCAUGGUGGUAGCAGCUGAGCUGGUUGUAUGUAGGAUUCCUGUCUCUUCCCACAGUGGGUUGGAAAGGAACAUCACAGAUGCUCGCUGUUGAGCCAGCAGGCCUCCAAAUGCCUAACAAGAAGGCGUUUGCCAAAUACCAGUGGAGUCUGUCUGUCUUCUCUGUUUCUUUCUCUUUCCAGCCUAAUGGCGGAAUGAAAACGGUGCCACUCAGGAGGUGUGUUUCCCACUUUGGGUACAGACAUGUUGGUGUGUGACAGAGCAGUGGCUUGGGCCUUAGGUAUGGAAGAGGAAGCCUGCCAUUUCUUUGUAGGCCUGUUCUCUUGCCCUCUUGAAGACACAGAGUACCACCUCCCUCCAAAUCCCGCAGUUCCUGGUCAUGGAAGACUUGCAUCUCCUUUGCAGCACGCACUACAGUGACUUGGGCUUACUUCUACUCCUGGGACUCUUCUGAGGCCACCGUGGUGAAGGAGGCUGAGCCCUGUCAGCCCCGCCCUUUGGGACAGUGAUUCAGGGAUGCUGAGCUGUUAGCCUAACAUCUAAACAACUGGGAAAGCCCGUGACUGCCCCAGAGACCUUGUAAGGGGGUUCCUCCUGCUCUGAGGAGAAACCCUGAAGACUGCAGACUGGUUUUCUUUCUGUUUUAGAGGCUGCUUUGACUCGAAAAAGGCUGGGGGAGCUUCCCGUGGACAUCCCUCUGCUCGUUUAAAACCCCUUCUUUUGAGGUAAAUGUUAUUCUGUUUCCCAGACUGCCUGUGAGUUCAAGGUCCUCCAGCGCCAGCAUCCCGAAUGCAGUAAUUACAGACGUGCGUCAGUACACUGAGCCAAGGCUCUCCUCAUCUGCACCUUGGCCUCUCAUGGCCUGUCUAGACUCUCUGCAGAUCCUCUACUCUUGUGACUUAUUUACAAAUAGUGACUCAUUACCCCAGGCACAAAGAGGGUGGGUGUUGGCACCUUCCUUUUACAGAGGAAGAAACUGAAGGUCAGAGAGGAAUCCAAGCUGGUGAAAGGCAGAGCCAGGUGUAGGACUGAUCAAAACCCAUUGAAGUUCCUAAUCUCAAUGCAGCUUGCUUCCCUGCAGCCUGCUCCGAGGCCCUGGCUUAUGGCUAGGCUCCAUGAACCUACAGACGUGUCCAUGAUAGAUGCAUAUAUGAACUCUCCUCCAGCCUGAUGCUAGGGCCUCAGGCCAUGAAUAGAGAGUGUGGUCUGGUCCUACAGCAGGAAAGAGGUGAGGCAGACCGUAGUCCCUCUCUCCAUCCCAAUCUUUUAUGUGUGAAUGAGGGUCACAACGCCCAUCUCAGAGUGUGGGUGUGUGGGACUCAACAAAUUCAACCAGGUUUCUCCAGGGAUAGUGCUUGGUGUAUAGCAGGCCCUACAUUAAGAACUAGUCAUAUUUCCCUCAAUCCCUGCGGUCAAGCUGAGAGGCAGAGGGAGAUUGGCAGACUUGACCUGUCAUGCCCUAUCUUUCAUUUGCCAGAAGCUGCAGUCUCCCCAGGUUUGUUCCCUCCCCACCAUAAAAGUCUGUCAGCCCCAUUAACAUUGAGCUUUGCGAGCAUUAUUUCUCCCACCAACUUUUCAUUGCAUGAAAGAAUGGGAGGAAGAUGACAAUACUUUAUUAACUCCAAACUGGAAGCCCUCAAAAGGGUCUGAAGACAUCUUCAUGGCUCCUACAAAUGCACACCCAGAUGUCUGCACCCAGCCCUCCUGAUUGCCCUGUGGCAUUAGGGCUGACUCUAGGCAGCUCCCUUCCCUGAUUUAGGAUGUGCUCUGAGGAGAUCCAUGAAGCUUCCUGUGAUGCCAGGCUGAGUGCUGCCCCGGGAGCUGUCAGCAAGGCUACUUGCUGGUAUGCUGGCCCUGGGGCUUUUAGAGGGUGAGAGAGAAAGUGCAGGCACUGGGAGGAAUGUGCCAGGUCUGUUUCUAUUACUCUGGAAACUACUUUGAAUCACCCAACACGGCUGGGGCUGCCCAGGGUAGAGUGCCCAGAAUGUAGACAUUCCCUCAGCUGUGAGGGAGAGGGAGUAAGACUUGGGGCUAAAGGUGGGAGCUGUGGUGUCCGGUUGGGUUUUUCUCAAGGAAGGAUACAUUGAAAUCAAAUGACCUUAAUGUUGGGAUAAUCUCCCUGUUAGGUAGUGAGCUCCCUGCCCUUACAGUAUUCAAAGGCCAUAUGCUCACACCCAGCGCUGUAACUCGAACUUUGGAAGAAAAUUACUUUUUCCAUCCUAGGAUUUGCUGAGCUUGUGACUGUGAUUCUGUCCCAUGAUUUUUAAACCCAAAGGCUUGUAGGCGCCUGCUAUUGCUCAGUAAUGUGCAGUGUGUUAACCAGGAGCAGGCUGGGCUGUAUCAACACACCGGAUUCCAGACGGAGACUAGUGAUGGACCCAUUCGCAUCCUUAGUUUAGAAUUAGGAAUGCGAAGGCUAAUCACUUUGUGUCACCAUUGCCCUGAAAACCUGGAGGUAUUCCUGGGAGGCCUGGCACCAUGGGCUAAGCCCUCACAUGGGUGGGGAGGGUGUCUCAAAGUUAAACAGGGCUAGUGAGGUUUCCUUUAGAGAGGCCCUUUCUGCAAGCAUAUCUCAGAGCUGGAGGAUGGUGUGGCAGGGAGGGCAGUAUCCUCUUAGUGAGUCAGGGGAUGGUCAGACCUGGAAGCUCAGAAGUCCAGGUUGACAUAAAGCUCAGAGGCAGAUGGCCUGGCUAGCACGAACCAGGUCCCAGUGGCCAUCGGCAAGAGAAGUCUGUAACAACCAACAUGAAACAAAACAAAACAGAAAAAGAAGUAAGAGUACAAAACCAAACAGAACUGGAAAGCACCUUCAAAAGCACUCGGAGGGAAAGGCAUGAUGGGAAACUGGAGGUACUGUCCCAGGAAGGCAGAGGCUUUAGGACUUCAGGGCCUGGAGUUUCCUCCUUACACUUGCCACUCUAGCUCCUUGUGCAUCUAGGGUAGAUUGGCCGACGUCACUGACCUUUAGGUUCUCCCUCUGUAAACAUGAGUAACCGUGAAUGUCUCAUCUCAUUGAGGUGAGAAGGCUCACCCAGACCUUCGGGAGUGAGAACCGCUCAGGUUGUGUCUCUAAGUCUUGUUCUAGGAGGUGGAACAGACAGAGAAGUAGCUCAGGGUGGGGCUGAGAAGGCAAACUGUCCAACAGAUGCCCUCCAUCCAGGCACGGCGGCACCCUCUAGUGUGUGUGUUAAUAAAAUGCUAGGGGUGUAGUCCAGUGGUACCUGCCAAGUGCCUGGUACCUGUGGCAAUGGAGGCUGCUGAGGACCUGGAGCCACCUACCUGCUUUGUCCCAUCGGGUUUUCCACUGCAUGCACAAUCCAUUGUCCUGCUGGCCAGGGAUCACAGAAGACCCCACCACUUUGGAAGGUCAACAGAGCUGGCCUCAGCCUCCUGCUCUGUCCCCUGUCUCAAACUUUCUUGUCCAAUAGCACCCUCCAUUUCCUGACCUGCUACGUUGGUAAGCAGCUUUGCUAUUUCUGGUUGCCUGAGAAUCUACAUGACCAACUUCUGGCAUGCAGUAGGCAGCUAGAGUUGGAGAAUGAGUACUGUGAGACAGUGGUCACUGCUCUAUGGUCCUGAGUUGAUGGCAGUGCCCCGUGUGUGAAGUUUAACUUCCUCAAUGCUCCGGAAGUUUAGAAAGGCUGCAGCCUGUUAAAUGACUCUCCUGAAGUUGCUUGAGUUGGUGAGUGAUGUCAGGGUCCUAACCAGGUAUUUCCUCUUUCAGAUAAUGCAGCAGUAAGGCCUGGCCUAUGUUCAGGUCUCAGCCUUCCCAUCUAUAAAAUGGGUGGAUUCUCCCAUGGUAAUAGCAUGCUCUGAUUGUGUUGUCUCCCGUUCACUUUGCACGUUACAGCCGGAGACCUGUUUGCCCGUGCUGGCACUGUGGGGCAGCUCACCUGACUUGAAGGGCUAUGGAUGCACUUCUGGCUGUUGCCCUGUAAAUAUUUGUUUUGAUCGCUGUACUGGAUCUUCUUGAUAUUAUGGUUGACUACUACUGGCAAAAUUUUAGGGUUGGCCCUGAUAGCCUUGGAGGAUUCUCUUUUCCAGCAUCUUCUUCUUUUGAAACAGGGUCUCAGUAUAUAGCCCUUGACUGGCCUGGAACUUAAUAUAUAGACCAAGCUGACCUUGAACUCACAGAGAUCUACCUGCUUCUGCCUCCCAAGUGCUGGGCUUAAAUUUCUGCACCGCCCUACUUGGCUCUUUCAGUGUUUUUGAUGGUAGGAGCUGUCAAAGACAUCCGGUGCCCAGCAAUGCCUGGGGCCAUGGGCACACAGUCUAGAGCCCUGGCUCCAGGAAAGAGGAUCAAUGACCUAAUAAAUUUCCUGAUGCAGCCUCCUGGCAGAUCGUCAUCCUCAUUCCCCUGCAGAGUCUCCGUGGAAAGAGGCUGUCUACAGAGAUCCCGUGAUAACACACUACACUGCUCUCUCCAAGCCUCUGAGCCGGGCGGCCCUUCUGAGUGUUUUUAACCUGCUUCCCUCCUGCUGUAAUUUAAGGCCCCUUUCUCUUGUUGAGUGCAAA